UACGAAGGGGGCUAGCGUUGCUCGGAAUCACUGGGCAUAAAGCGCACGUAGGCGGAUUGUUAAGUCUGGGGUGAAAUCCUGGAGCUCAACUCCAGAACUGCCUUUGAUACUGGCGAUCUUGAGUCCGGGAGAGGUGAGUGGAACUGCGAGUGUAGAGGUGAAAUUCGUAGAUAUUCGCAAGAACACCAGUGGCGAAGGCGGCUCACUGGCCCGGUACUGACGCUGAGGUGCGAAAGCGUGGGGAGCAAACAGG
rnacentral:rRNA from 1 species